GAUAAAGAACGUAGUGAAAUGCGAUAAGUAGUGUGAAUUGCAGAAUUCAGUGAAUCAUCGAAUCUUUGAACGCACAUUGCGCCCCUUGGUAUUCCAUGGGGCAUGCCUGUUCGAGCGUCAUUUGUACCUUCAAGCUCUGCUUGGUGUUGGGUGUUUUGUCUCGCCUCUGCGUGUAGACUCGCCUUAAAACAAUUGGCAGCCGGCGUAUUGAUUUCGGAGCGCAGUACAUCUCGCGCUUUGCACUCAUAACGGCGACGUCCAAAAGUACAUUUUUACACUCUUGACCUCGGAUCAGGUAGGGAUACCCGCUGAACUUAAGCAUAUCAAUAAGCGGAGGA
rnacentral:misc_RNA from 1 species